AGCAGCCGCGGUAAUUCCAGCUCCAAUAGCGUAUAUUAAAGUUGUUGCAGUUAAAAAGCUCGUAGUUGAAUUUCGGGAUCAGUACGCUGGUCGUGCCUUCGGUAUGAACUGGUGUCACUGGUUCCUCCCUUCUGAAGAACCGUCAUGCCAUUCAGUUGGUGUGGCGGGGAAUCAGGACUGUUACUUUGAAAAAUUAGAGUGUUUAAAGCAGGCUCGCGCUUGAAUACAUUAGCAUGGAAUAAUGAAAUAGGACGUUUGACCCUAUUUUGUUGGUUUCUAGGAUCGACGUAAUGAUUAAUAGGGAUAGUUGGGGGCAUUAGUAUUCAAUUGUCAGAGGUGAAAUUCUUGGAUCUAUUGAAGACUAACUACUGCGAAAGCAUUUGCCAAGGAUGUUUUCAUUAAUCAAGAACGAAAGUUAGGGGAUCGAAGACGAUCAGAUACCGUCGUAGUCUUAACCAUAAACUAUGCCGACUAGGGAUCGGAUGAUGUUAAUUUUAAUGA
rnacentral:rRNA from 1 species